rnacentral:rRNA from 1 species
GUCUUUUUGAAAAUAAUUUAAAGUCCGACCUGCCCACUGAUAAAUUAAAGGGCUGCAGUAUUUUGACUGUACUAAGGUAGCAUAAUCAUUAGUUUUUUAAUUGAAAGCUAGAAUGAAUGGUUUAAUGAAAAACUUACUGUUUCAAUUAUAAAUAUUGAAUUUUAUUUUUAAGUUAAAAAGCUUAAAUAAAUUUGAUAGACGAGAAGACCCUAUAGAGCUUUAUAAUUUAUUUAAUUAGUUAAUUUUAGUAUUAAUAAAAUAAAUUAAUUGAAUUAUUAGGUUGGGGUGAUUUAUAAAUUUAUUAAACUUUUUAUUUUAAAAUCAUUAAUAUAUGAAAAUUUGAUCCUUUAAUAAAGAUUAAAAGAUUAGUUACCUUAGGGAUAACAGCGUUAUUUUAUUAAGGAGUUCUAAUUUAUAAUAAAGUUUGCGACCUCGAUGUUGGAUUAAAAUUAAGUUUUGGUGUAGAAGCUAGAAUUUUAAGUCUGUUCGACUUUUAAAAUUUUACA